rnacentral:lncRNA from 1 species
CAAAUUAUUUUUAUUAAAGAAUUUUAAAAUGAUUAAGAGAAAAAAUUUCGUAUUACUUUAAAGUUUUAUUUGAAGAUAAUAUAACGGUGUUACAUCUUAGUUUUGGGGCAUGACACCAUUAUUAGACAAGUCUUGACCAGAUUGGAUUACGUAUCAGCCAAUUUGUCAGGCAUUGCAACAGAUUUCAGGUAAUUGGAGAGUCUGCAAACAUGACAGGCUUGAGCUAGUUUAAUUUCUGCUUUUGCUUUGUGAGACUAUUCCAAUGAAGUGAGGAAAGAUAGAUAAAUUUGAUUAUGAACUCGAAUCCAUUUUUGAUAGUAUAGUUAGACUCUGAAAGGGAGGAGGUUAAGAUUCAAAUCUUCGUGAAACCUCCUUCGAGAUGGAAACUUGGGAAGGAGAGCAGCGACUCGUUUGGCACUUUUCAAAUAUGAUGCAUACUGAAGGAUGACAGGAGUAUCAUUCUUUCCUGCAUCAAUUUUGUCACGGUCCAAGCUUAUUGUCUGAAAAGCACUAGCCAAAGGCAAGACAUGGAUACCGUGACUAUUCUCCUUUCCUACCAGGUCCUUAAGCGCCUUCUUCUUGAAAGUCCAGCUGCCAGUUCUCAGGUUGAAAUGGUAUAGAGGAAGAAAUCGUUGGCCAUAGAUGGCUACGAACUCCAACGCCGCAAGAAUGUAUUCAAACUCCUCAUUUGACAUGUAGUAAGGAAAGCUGACUCUCGUCCAUCCAGGUUUUGCUCCUAUGUAGCCCUGCAAUCAAACUUUGCAAUUGGCAUUAGAUAAGUUGAAUUAUAUUUUACUUCUCUUCAUUUGGUCAAAAAAGAAAAAAAGGAAAAUUUUGUACUGAUACCCUUUUAAUAGCUUCUCUGAACGCAAGGGAUCGAGUCUGAUCAAUAUCAAGCAAACUGUGGCCAUAAGGUCCAGCACAAGCACACCCACCUCGAGCUUGGAUGCCAAACAGAUCAUUUAGGAUGGUUGCAACAAAAGGGCCAUGGAGAGGUUUAUCCCUCUUGUUCCCAGUCUCUCCCCACAUGAAAAGUCCCCUACCCUUUUCCUUUGCCUCGUCAACAUUGUUACCAUCGUUGGUUGUGGAGUAGAUGAGGAAAGACAGUAUGGCUUGUCUCUGGGUCUCGGUGCUUGCAUUUCCUAAAACCCUUAUGUUUUGGUUUGGGAGAAGCCUCUCCAAUGCUUGAUUUAUGUACGACUUCUCCUGCUUUGCAAUCACUUCAUAACCAAUAUAUUCUUUUACCCAAAAAGUCAAUGCUGCUCUAACAAUCUGAAUUAUUUGAGGAGUCCCUCCAUUUUCCCUUUCUUCUAUGUCACUUGCAUAUAUUGUGUCCUGCAAAAUAAAUACCCCAUUUCGCCACAUUUUAAAUGCAUACCUGCUUCCCUAAAUGCUGGGGAAUGAAUCUGAUUAAUAUCAUGAUAACUUAUCAUUUUCUAGAGUAUUUUUCUACUGGCACUGUCGUGCAUUCAGAAAUUUGGUUGGAAAUCUCUUUUCUUCUAAAAUUGUAAUUAAAAUAAAAUUUUUUUAGAGACACUUAUCAUUCACUAGUCUAUGUCUAAACCCGCUCCAUCUGAAUCAGGAAUUUAUUUCUAAACUCCAAAAAGCCUGACAGCUACCUAAUCAUUCUUUAUGUCGUCCAGCCGAAGAAAGAAACCGAAAUUUCUUACAAAAUGGGAUAUAUAAGCAAGAAUAAGAAAAAGAUAAAGAAAAUACAAAUUUCCAUUUUAUGGUAGAGAGGUGAACAAAAAAUAAAAUCUUUCAUCUAUUAAAUUGAAUUAAUCUGAACACAAAAAUAUAAUAAAAAUCUCUUCAUUUAUUAUCAAUUAAUUUUAAAUUUGAGAGUGAUUACCUGUUCAUUGAAGCCAUUGACAUAAUUAACAGUUCCACCUCCGCAAGUUGAUGGAGGAGAAGAUCCCAGCCGGUAGAGAGCCUUGCUCAUUAAAAGGAUGCCGGGCGUUCCCGGGCCACCUAGAAACUUAUGUGGGCUUAGGAAAAUGGCAUCAUAUCCAUCAAUCUCCCCUGACCUCAUAUCAAUCUCCACAUAAGGACCACUAUCCACAAAAACAAAAUGAUAAGCACAAUCACAAAUCAACUUCUCAUUGCUUUAUAACAUUAACAUAAUACAUAAACUUGGCUAAUAAUUAAUUGUGAGAUCUGUUAUUAAAAUAUUAAACUUUUAAUUUUAACAAUCAAAGUUUAAAUUCUGACAACCUCGAAUAUAAAAGCUUGACAACAAAAAAUGAAAAUUCUUACUGUGUACCUUGCUGCAAAAUCAAAGCAAACAAAACCUCCGUACUCAUGAAGAAGUUUGGCAAUCUCUCGAGUAUCUGUUUGAAUCCCAGUCACAUUACUACAAGCUGAAAAGGAGCCAAGCAAAGGCCUAUUGGCGUAUUUAUAGAGCUCAAGCUGUUUUCUUAGUGCUUCAAUGUCUAUGAACCCAUUCUCAUCUAAACCAAUCUCAACAACUUCAGCAAGGCUUUGACGCCAAGAAAGCAAGUUGGAGUGUUGCUCGUAAGGGCCAAUAAAAACUACCCAUCGAUACUCAUUAGGUAAGCAAUUUAUUACCAUGUCCCUCAAAAUUGAUGGUACCGUAAUCCCCAUAACUUCUUGUAGCCUUUUAAUAGCAGCCGUGGUGCCUGAGCCACAAAACAGAAUUGCAUCAUCUUGACCGCCACCUAGGCUUCUUUUAAUGUAGUUUGACGCUUCAUGCACCAUUUUCGUCGUCCUGUGCCCCACGUAACUGUCAGACGUGUGAGUGUUACCUACGCACGAACCAACCAAGAUCAGCUGACAAAUACUAAAACACAAAAAAUAUAUCUAUAUAUAUAUAUAUAUAUAUUAUACUCGGAAAUGACGCCAUCACUUUUGUUAAUUAAAUCAGAGUAUCACAAUUGAAGAUCAGAAGAAAAAAAACCUUUACCGUAGAAUGGCAGAACAUUGGUGACGAUGAAGUUUUCGAUAUAGUGAAAAGAGCGACCCGAUGCAGUAUGAUCAGCAUAAGUAAGUUUUCUAGUUCCAAAAGGAGAGUCAAAUUCUGCAUCACCACCAGUGAUUUGAGAUCGUAGCCAAGACAGCUUUUUCUCGGUGGAGUCAACCUUUGGCACAUCCAUCUCUAGAGCCCUGAAUGAUUCCGAGCCAUGGAAGAGUUUGCUGGAAACAUAGGAACGGUAUGUUGAUCCUGGUGACUUAUGCCUGUCCCUGGUUGAAGUCUUACUAUCAUUUGCUGCCUUCAAUUGCAGGGCUUCCGUUGUUUCUCUAAACAUGGGUUGCUCAAACUCCAUUUCCCACCUGGAAACAAAGAUUAGUGGCUGUUUUUAUUGUUGUUGUAGCUUAUGACAGGAGAAAGAAUGGAAAAAGUAGUUGUAGAAGAAGAAAAAGAUAAGAAUGAGGGUAAGGAAGGCAGACUUGGUUAUUUAUAUACUAUUAAAAUACAAAGUAACCUUUUGACACGGUUUCAUCUUUUUAAUUAAUAAAACAAAAAGACAAAGUUUUAGGCGUGAGGGGGGUUUGACUCCGAAACCAUGGCCUCUACACACCAAUAAGAAAAAUAUUGCUGUCUCAGAAACAAUGGGAUCUCUAAAAAGGAUUGAAAAAAAAAAAAAAACCUACAGAAAAUAGUAAGCCUAUGUUUGGAAUAUGUUAUUCCUUGGAGUGUAAGAAUUUCCAUAUUUCUCAUUCCUCUCCCUAAAAUUUGAUUAUGGAGUAUCAAACAGCCCAAGCAAUUGUUAGAAAAACAUUGAACCUUUCCUGAUCUACUUGGUUUGGAACGUGAUGUAUCCAAUCUGCCGUAUUAAUAAAGAGAGCAUUGCUAUUUGGAGGUGUCAAUAAUAUACCCGUACUCACGAGUUAUUCAUUUUAUAAAUUAGAUUACUUAAUUGAUAAAAAGAAUGACAAUUUUGGUAUCUCAUUAUAAUUUUCACGGAUAGCUAUGAUUCCGAAAGAGUAAAAUGUGUAAAGAAAGCAAAGAAUUUGAUUGCUUUUAAACUUAGUAUGAUUUUGGCAAUAUGCAUGAUAAUUUUAUUAAUGAUUAUUCAUCAUUAAGUAACAUUUAUGAAUUAAAAUUAAAUUUUGAUUUAUUGAAAAAGUAUAAAAAAAUCAGUUAUAAAAAAUAAAUGAAAGAAUGAAGAAACAAACAAACGGAUCAAAUAAAAAAAAUAAAAAGAGAACCAAUACAAAAUAAAAGUAGUGAAAUAGAUCUUCAAACCAAUACUCCACCACAAUAAAGGCUAUUCAUUUGUAUUUAUGAUGAAGUGGCAUAUUAAAAAUAAAUAAUUUAAUUUAAUUAAGAAUGAUUUAAGAUAAAUAAUAAACAUUUGAUUACUAAUUGAUAUAAUUUUAACUAUAGAAGGUAAAUAAUACGUUCUCUUUAAGGUAAUGUUGUUCUUCCAAAAUAGUUAAAUAUAAAAAUACCCAUUUAUUAUGCAUUUUUUUUAUCAUUUGCACCCAAAAAAAUAAAAUAUUAGUUUGGCACUCUAAUUUCAUUAUUUCAUCACUUUGUUAUCGGAGACUAGCGUCGUCAGUCAAGUUUAUUGAUGUGGUAUAUAACACUCGAUAAGGAUAUUAACAUAUGCUAAGAAAAGCUAAUCAAUGUCAAAUCAUCAAAAUUACAUCUGAAUUUAAAGAAAAUUCUAAAAAAAAUUUAAAAUAUUUUUUAAAAAAUAUUUAGCUUCUAAAAAAAUUAAUUUUAAAACCAAAACUAAAAUUUUUAAAAAUUUUUAAAAAAUUACCAAAACUUAAAAAAUUCAGAAAAAUCUCAAAAUUUUAUUAGGAAAAUAAAAAACUUUUCAAAUUUUCAUAAAAAUCAUAAUUUUAGUAAACAUAAAAGUUUUCAUAAAUUUAAAAAAAAUCUCUAAAGCUUAAAAAAAUUGAAAGUAAAAGAUCUAAAUUUUUUUGAAAAUAUCUAAAAAUUUUAAAAUAAUUGUAAUUCUUGUAAAUUAGGAAAAUUCUUCAUUUUUUUAAUCUUACAAUUUUAAUUUUCUUAUAUAUUUUGUGAUUUUUUACAUUUUUUUAAAUGUUUAUGGAUUUUUAUUAAAAUUUUAAGUUUUUUAUUUUAUAUUUUUCAAAAAAAUAUUAACUUUUUGUAAAUUUCUUAGAAUAUUUCAUAUUUUUGAAUUUUUUUAAUUUACUCAAAAUUUUUGAAAAUAUUUUAUAAAAUUUUAGAUUUUAAUAAAAAUUUGAUAUUUUUUUAAUUUUCAAAUUUUGUCAAAAAAGUCCAGAUUUUUUAUUAUUUGUAAACCUCUUUUUUAAUUUUUUAGAAUUUUUUUGGUUAUUUUUUAAUUUUUUAUCAAAAUUUUGAGAUUUUAUGAAUUUUUUUAUGUUUUGAUAUUUUUUAAAAUUUUAUGUUCAAAUAAGAUUUCAUAUUUAUUUAAUUUUUUUAAUUUUUAAAAAUAUUUUAGACUUUUAAAUUUUGUUGAAAUUUUUUACUAUUAAUGUGGUAAUUGAUGAUGUGGCACUACUGAACUUUUUGAUACAUGUCAGUAUCUUAUUAGAUGUUAAUGCCAUGUUGACAAAUUGAGUAAUUGCUUUAGUACGAGGUAUCAAAGUAAAUGGCGAAAUGAAAGUUAAAAAUCCAAAUUGAUAAUUUUGUUUUUGAAAGUACUAAACUGACAGAAAGUGUAUAGUACAUGAAAUAUUUUUAUGUUUAACUUUUCCAAUCAUGAAAAGACCUAAAAGGAGACUUGAAAUUGUUAUACAUGUAAUCGAUAAUCAUUCCUUAGUGUUGACCUUUAGAGUUCAAAGGAUGUCUCAAACCCAAAUAAUUUUUGGGUUUUUCCUACAUGUAAUAAUAAUAUUAAUUACCAAAUUAUUGCUUAAUUUGAAAAAAAAAUGACAUUAAUAUAAAGAUAAAUGUACAUAAAAGAGCAGUAACUGUAACUCGUAUAAAAGUAAAAAAAAAAAAAAAAGGUUAUCUGAACCUAUUUUAAUUGAAAACCCUUGAAGCCUCCUCAUCAAACACUUACUAGACUAAAGGUUUACAAAACCUCUAAACCAGAUUGAUCUAGUAAGAUGUGUAAGUUUUACAUUUAAGUGAUCACAUUAAAUUAUUUAAACUCUCAUGCUUAUCUUGUAUUAAGAGUAAACACAUCAACCAAUUUUAUUAAAUUAUUAAAACUAACUAUUAAUGGCAGCCCACUUAUAAAUUAUUCUCGCUCUAUAUCCUAAUAAGACAUCAACGGGGAGUGUAUAAAGCAAAAAUGAAGACUAUAUAAAGAGCAAUGGUGGUGGAAAGAUUGUUUUAUAAACAAAAAAUUUGGAUGUUGAAGCGGUCUUCAUAAAAGACGACUUUCUGUGUUAGAGUGGUUCCAUUAAAAUAGUAUACUAAGGUCAUAUUUGAUACAUAUAAUUAUUAAUAGAAUAUGAAGAAUAUUCGUAGGUUUGCAAUGAGGAUUAAUAUCCUCUUGUAUAGGAUUAUUCAAUCAUCUCAAGUAGAAAGGAUAAUUUUUAAAUUUAUAGAUUAAACUUACUGGUUCAAUUAAUACUCUUAAAAAUUACUUUAAUAAUUUAAAUUGUAUAAACUUUGAAUAAGGAAUUUUUGACCAAUAAAUAAAAUUAUCCUAUCCUAAUCUUUACAUAUAGCAAACACAAAACAAAAUGACAUUAUUUAAUCUAAUUUUAUUUAUAAUAUCAUUGUACCCUAUCAAGUUAUAAUCUUAUGUACCAAACAUGGCAUAAGAUUAUAUAUCUAUGUAUAUUGAUAUUAUUUGUUAUUUUAUAACUAAGCUUUUGCGAUUCACAUAUUGUGAGGGGUUUCUGUGACAACUUUUUAAAAGGCUAUUUGGUGUGAUUGCAUAUACAUGACAUCAUACAUGCUAAUAAAGGAUUAGGAUAGAGCGGUAUAUUCGAAUUCACCCAUAAGGUACUGUGUGAAUUGAAUUCCUUAAUUCUUUUUAUUCGUGAUCUAGAUUGGUGGAUUAUAUUACAAAAUGGUGGUGUAGCAUAAUGAUUUUAUGUUGUUUUAUAGCUAUUAUUGUUCAUUUCUUCAAACAUCAGUAAAUAAGAUUGAAGAACAGGUGCAUUGUCCUAAAACCAAAUGAACUUGAGUAAAAACCAUCAGCUCUAGGGAUUUUCGAAGAACUUGGAUGUCACUUUGUUUAUUGAAAACCAAAUGAUGGAAAGAAAUAGGAAGGUAGUAUCGAAAUUAGGAAUAACCUUUAGUUUACAAUAGAUAAGUUAGUUGAUUUUGUCUGUGUACACUCGGGUAUACUAUUUUUUAUUUAUGUUAAUGAGCCUCACACAAAUCUUCAAUUUGGUUGACUUUAGGACUAAUAUUAGGUUCUGGAAGUCUAGAAUGACUAUUGAAUAUAUAAGGUGAAGAAAUCUAAAUAUUCAAUAUUGAAAUUAUUUUAUACCUUGAUCUUAGCAUAUGAUAUUGGAAGUAGUUUACUAAAAUUAGGUAAGUUAUAUUGAGACAUUGAUAUUUCAAUUGGCUAUAUGCUAUGCCUUUUUCAUAUUUUUUUUAUCCUAAAGAUUGAAGGAGAAAUUUUAUUUUUGGAUGAGAUGCUAUGAUUCGCAAAAGUGAAUUAAAAUGGAAUUUGUAUUAAUGGAUAAAUUAUUACUUUAAGUAUUAUAUAUUGUUGGAAAGCUUGCUGAAUCUAUUUUUCAAUGAAACAAACGUAAGUUGAAUCAGAGUUUUCUAUUAAGAGUUAUCUAAUUUUUACUUAAUGAUAUGUAGACUGCUUGACAGCAGUAGCAAUAAGGAAUUACAAAAUUUCUCUGAAUUUUUAUACAAUGAAUUACGAAUUGAGCCAUACAUGUUUAAAAAGGUUAUUGAGUUUAUAUUCCAAUGAAACAAGCAGAAUUGAAUUUGGAGUCUUUUAUGAAUAAAUAUAUCAUUUUGAUUACAAUAUAUACAUGCUAUCUAGUAGUAGCAUAUGACAUGGAUUGCGAAAAUUAUUACAAUUAAUCUACAAUAAAUUACGAGGUGGGCCAUAUAUGUUGUCAUAACAUCUAGAUCCGGGGAUCCUUUGCUAGAUAUUGUCUUUAGGAGUGAUCAUUAAUCUUUUUUAUCUAUGAGCGAUUGGUCAUCUAGGGAAUUUAUCCUUUUAAAGAACACCUAAGCCUAAGGGUCCCUAAAAGAAUAGUUUCAUGUUUACUAAUCAGAACAGGGUUCAAGAGUACGGUUAUGUGUGAAAAAGGUUAUAACACCCUUACAACGCCCAUCGAAAGAUGGUACCAGCUUAAUUUUAUGUUAUCCAAUAAGUUUUAAAAAUUUACUAGAUAAUUAAUUAUUAGAAAUUAUUCUCAAUUGACUAUAAAACUUUUAGUAAAAAAUUAAAAAAAAAUUUUCACCCAAAGAGUAUGCAAGGAAACUACUGUUUCACUUGCAGAAGCUCUAUCGUCAGAUUAUUUAACAUUAAAGAAAAUUCAAAAAGGAAAAGAAAUAAAAUGGGAAAAAAGAAUAAUAAUUCAACUUUAGAUAUAAAUCUUUCUCUUCAAAAACUUAUUACUUUUGUAUAAGAAAAAUUGAUACUUUUAACUUUUCCUCAAAAGAAUUUGAGAGUUUCUAUUUUAAGGACAAUUGAUACUUUCAACUUUUCCUUAAAACAUUUUUUUUAAGAAAAAUUGGUACUUCUAACUUUUUCCCAAAAUAUUUUUCUGAAACUUUAAUUUUGAGGAAAAUUGAUACUUUCAACUUUUCUUCAAAAAUAUUUUUUUUAAAUUUAUUUUUAAGAAAAAUUGAUACUUUUACCUUUUCCUCAAAAAUAAUUUUUAGAAAAUUAUUUUCAAGGAAAAUUGAUACUUUCAACUUUUUCUCAAAAAUAUUUUUUUAGAAUUUUAUUUUAAGAAAAUCAUUAAAAAAUAAAAAUAAAAAUAAAAUAAGGAAUACAAAAUUAUUCUAAUCUAAUCAAUAAAUAAUAAUAAUAAUAAUAAAUAAGAAAAAAAAAAUUUUGGAACAGCUCGGCUUGAGAGAUAGAAGUGGUUUAAACGUGAGGCUCAGCUAGAAACGGCUCGAUUGGGCUGGGCUAGGGUCUAGGUAAAAAUGCGGGUCGCUAAUCGGGUUGGUGCUCGGGUUGAGUCACCCGAUUUCAAAACGUGCUGAUCUUCUGGGAAUAGUAAGGCUAAAACGACAUCGUUUUCAGUCGGUAUAAAAGGCUUCAACCUCUGUUUUUUUACAGAUUGCUUCCUUCUUCCUCUUUUUUUCUUUUUUUUUUCUCCUCCUUCUCUCUAAAUAGAAUCCAAAUCUCAGUUGAAUAUCUGCUGAAAUCUGAAAAAAAACAGGUCAAAAACUUCGAAGUUGGCCGAAAAUCUCGCCAAAAAAGUUGAAUCUUACCGAAAAAUUUCACUGGAUUCUGAAAAAUUUUUAGAAAUUUUUAGAAAAAAAAUUCUAAAAUUCUAAAAUCUUUCCCAUAAAUUCCUAACACUGUUUCUAACGCACCAGAACUUUUUUUAACCUCUGUUUCCUCUCUGUGUAUUUUUUGAUCUUUUUGUGUGCUCUCUGUGGACCUAUUUAUAAGGAUUGAUCAGAAGAGUUUCUGAUCAAUCCCAACUCCUUCUGGGAUUUUGAUUCAAUCUUUGAAUCCAAUCCCAAUCCUGCUAACCUCUAAUUUCACGGCCAAAUCCAAUUUUUUUAUCCUAAUCCUAUCCGAAAAUCAAUCAAGAUAAAACAAAAAAAACACAUAUAAUAAUUAAUAGAUAAAUAAUAAAAAAAUUAUAUUAAUAAAUAAUAAUAAAAAAUAAAUAAAAUGGGCUUACCCAUUUUGACUAGGCCCAAUUGAUCCAAGCCUGGACCAAAUUGGGUGUCUACAUAUUUUUGAAAAGGUUUUUGAGUCUAUUUUUCGAUUAAACAAGCGAAAUUGAAUUUGGAGUCUUUUAUGAAUAAAUAUAUAAUUUUUAUUAGAAGAUAUGCAUACUAUCUGAUAGCAACAUAUAACAUAGAUUGCAAAAGUUAUUACAAUUAAUCUACACGAAAUUAUGAUGUGGGCCAUAUAUAGUUAAAAAAUUUAUCGAGUUUAAUUUCUAAUGUACUAAAAAGAUUUUAAUUUUGAGUUGGAUAUCUUAAGAUAGGGUCAUUUUAGUGAAAGUAGCAUAGGCUACCAAAAUUAGUUAGUUAACCCUUAUAUAACUUAGUUGUUUUUAGUAUUAAUGGUCUUAAAGUGGAUUGAUUAAUUUCUGUUAUAUUGAAAUGAUUUUGAAUAGCCUAUUAAUUAUUUUGAGGGAAAAACUAAGUGGUGGAACCAAAAGGAAAUAAGUAGAAUCUUACACACUUUGCUUAUUUUGAAACUUAUGUAUAUAUGUAUGUUUCUAAAUAAAUGAGAUUUAUUUCUUUAUUUUCGAUAUAAGAAAAUAGGUUGAGCAUAUGAUUAUUUUAUGUUUUGCUAUAUAAAUGAUGGAUCAUGUUUAUAAAUGAAAUGAGAAAUUGAUUUAUGUUUAAUGAAUGAUUUUAUAAUAGCUACAUAUUUUACAUCUUGAGAAAUGGGAUUAUCGAUACCAGAACUAGUUAUACUACCCUAGCUAACGGAUUAUAAAAGUUAAUAUAGUCACGAUCAAAUGGCACUACUAGUGGGUCAUAGUAGUUAGUGUAAAGGUUUGGCCAGCAGGCUAUAAUAGUUAGUAAAGAUCAUAAGGAUAAAAUUAUCGAUAUUGCCAAUGUUACGGAUUAUAGUAGUAAUCAUAGUUAAUGAUAAACUAAUGAUAAUGAUGAUUUAUGAUAAUGAUGAUUUUAAAGAUUGAUUCAUGAUUUGAUUUAAUUACGAUAUUUGAAUGGUAACAUAUUUUGUAAUGAUUUAUGAAUUGAUCUAUUUUGAUUUUGAUUUAUGAUCUACAAAAUAUUUGACAUAAUGUUGAUUUUUGAAAUAUUUUGAUGUAUUAUUUGACAAAUGUUUCGAAUUAUCUAUAUGAUAUGUAUGAAACCGAUGUUUGAUCCGAUAAAAUGUAUGAUCUUAUACUAGAUUAGCUGUAAUUUGUUCAUUCUCUUUCUACCUUUUCUUUACACAUGAGUAACUGAUAAGUAUAUUUAGUCUUAUUAAAAGCUAGAAGAUCAAAUUUGGAAAUAUUACUUGGACAUUAGAAAUAUUGUUAGCUAGUGAGAUCUUAUGAAAUUAUUUUAUAUGUUUUUUAUUAAUUAACCUUUGGAUAUAUAGAGAUGUAUCACUAGUUAGAUUAAAUUUAUGAAUUUUACUUGGCAAAUUAUUUUUAUUAAAGAAUUUUAAAAUGAUUAAGAGAAAAAAUUUCGUAUUACUUUAAAGUUUUAUUUGAAGAUAAUAUAACGGUGUUACAUCUUAGUUUUGGGGCAUGACACCAUUAUUAGACAAGUCUUGACCAGAUUGGAUUACGUAUCAGCCAAUUUGUCAGGCAUUGCAACAGAUUUCAGGUAAUUGGAGAGUCUGCUAACAUGACAGGCUUGAGCUAGUUUAAUUUCUGCUUUUGCUUUGUGAGAAUAUUCCAAUGAAGUGAGGAAAGAUAGAUAAAUUUGAUUAUGAACUCGAAUCCAUUUUUGAUAGUAUAGUUAGACUCUGAAAGGGAGGAGGUUAAGAUUUAAAUCUUCGUGAAACCUCCUUCGAGAUGGAAACUUGGGAAGGAGAGCAGCGACUCGUUUGGCACUUUUCAAAUAUGAUGCAUACUGAAGGAUGACAGGAGUAUCAUUCUUUCC